UACGGGGGGGGCAAGCGUUGUUCGGAAUUACUGGGCGUAAAGGGCUCGUAGGCGGCCGACUAAGUCAGACGUGAAAUCCCCCGGCUUAACCGGGGAACUGCGUCUGAUACUGGACGGCUUGAAUUCGGGAGAGGGAUGCGGAAUUCCAGGUGUAGCGGUGAAAUGCGUAGAUAUCUGGAGGAACACCGGUGGCGAAGGCGGCAUCCUGGACCGACAUUGACGCUGAGGAGCGAAAGCCAGGGGAGCAAACGGG
rnacentral:rRNA from 1 species